CGCCUAUUAGCUAGCCCCACCCCUUAACACAACAAACCCCCAUUCAUAACCCCUAAAGCACGAAACACCCACGUAGCUAAACCAUUCUCCCCCCUAAGUCCAGGCGAUAAAAAAGGAAAUUUUGGAGCAAUAGAAAAAGUACCGCAAGGGAAAGCUGAAAGAGAGAUGAAAAAGCCCAGUAAAGCUUAAAGAAGCAGAGCUUAAAGCUCGUACCUUUUGCAUCAUGAUUUAGCUAGCACUUUCAAGCAAAGAGAACCUAAAGUUUGUAACCCCGAAACUGAGUGAGCUACUCCAAGACAGCCUAUUUAUAGGGCGAACCCGUCUCUGUGGCAAAAGAGUGGGAAGAGCUUUGAGUAGAGGUGACAAACCUACCGAACUUAGUUAUAGCUGGUUGCCUGUGAACUGAAUAGAAGUUCAGCCCCCUGGAUUCUCCACUCAUGCACUUUAUUUAACCCUUCAGACGCAAUGAGAAACCAGGGGUGUUAGUCAAAGGGGGUACAGCCCCUUUGAUACAAGACACAACUUUCCCAGCAGGAUAAAGAUCAUAUUCAAAUAAGGACAGAUGUUUUAGUGGGCCUAAAAGCAGCCACCUUAACAGAAAGCGUUAAAGCUCAAACAUGAAGCCCUCCCGUUAUACCGAUAACCUUAUCUUAGUCCCCCACAUUUAACAGGCCCUCCUAUGCAUCACAUAGGAACGACUAUGCUAAUAUGAGUAAUAAGAAAGUAUAACCACUUUCUCCUUGCACAUGUGUAAAUCGGAACGGACCCCCCACCGAAUCUUAACGGCCCCAAUCAAAGAGGGUAUUGGAAACCACCACAAAUUUAGGCCAGAAAAACAUCCAAUGUAAACCCGUUAACCCCACACUGGUGUGCCCAAAAGGAAAGACCAAAAGGGGGAGAAGGAACUCGGCAAACAUACCCCAAGCCUCGCCUGUUUACCAAAAACAUCGCCUCUUGCAUAACCACAGUAUAAGAGGUCCCGCCUGCCCAGUGACAACUUAGUUCAACGGCCGCGGUAUUUUGACCGUGCAAAGGUAGCGUAAUCACUUGUCUUUUAAAUGAAGACCUGUAUGAAUGGCAUAACGAGGGCUUAACUGUCUCCUUCCCCUGGUCAAUGAAAUUGAUCUCCCCGUGCAGAAGCGGGGAUAAAACCAUAAGACGAGAAGACCCUAUGGAGCUUUAGACACACAGGUGGACCAUGUCAAAUACCCCCAGCUAAGGGCCUGAACUAAAUGGAACCUGCCUUGAUGUCUUCGGUUGGGGCGACCAUGGGGAAUACAAAACCCCCACGUGGAAAGGGAGCACACCCCUAAGUUACUUCUUCUCCCGCAAGCCAGAGCAACAGCUCUAACAAGCAGAAAUUCUGACCAUACUGAUCCGGUAAAACCGAUCAACGAACCAAGUUACCCUAGGGAUAACAGCGCAAUCCCCUUUUAGAGCCCAUAUCGACAAGGGGGUUUACGACCUCGAUGUUGGAUCAGGACAUCCUAAUGGUGCAGCCGCUAUUAAGGGUUCGUUUGUUCAACGAUUAAAGUCCUACGUGAUCUGAGUUCAGACCGGAGUAAUCCAGGUCAGUUUCUAUCUAUGACAUGAUCUUUUCUAGUACGAAAGGACCGAAAAGAAGGGGCCCAUGCUAAAGGUACGCCUCACCCCCACCUAAUGAAAAAAUCUAAACUAGGCAAAAGGGCAUAACCAUUUUGCUGGAGAUAACAGCAA
rnacentral:rRNA from 1 species